UACGGAGGGGGCUAGCGUUGUUCGGAAUUACUGGGCGUAAAGCGCACGUAGGCGGAUCAGAAAGUCAGAGGUGAAAUCCCAGGGCUCAACCUUGGAACUGCCUUUGAAACUCCUGAUCUUGAGGUCGAGAGAGGUGAGUGGAAUUCCGAGUGUAGAGGUGAAAUUCGUAGAUAUUCGGAGGAACACCAGUGGCGAAGGCGGCUCACUGGCGCAUUUCUGACGCUGAGGUGCGAAAGCGUGGGGAGCAAACAGG
rnacentral:rRNA from 1 species